ACUCCUACGGGAGGCAGCAGUAGGGAAUCUUCCACAAUGGACGAAAGUCUGAUGGAGCAACGCCGCGUGAACGAUGAAGGCCUGGUCGUAAAGUCUGUUGUAAGGAAGAACAAGUGCCGCAGGCAAUGGCGGCACCUUGACGGUACCUUGCGAGAAAGCCACGGCUAACUACGUGCCAGCAGGCCGCGGUAAUACGUAGGUGGCAAGCGUUGUCCGGGAAUUAUUGGGCGUUAAAGCGCGCGCAGGCGGCCUCUUAAGUCUGAUGUGAAAGCCCCGGCUCAACCGGGGGAGGGCCAUUGGAAACUGGGAGGCUUGAGUAUAGGAGAGAAGAGUGGAAUUCCACGUGUAGCGGUGAAAUGCGUAGAGAUGUGGAGGAACACCAGUGGCGAAGGCGACUCUUUGGCCUAUAACU
rnacentral:rRNA from 1 species